GAGAGAGAGAGAGAGAGAGAGAGAGAGAGAGAGAGAGAGAGAGAGAGAGAGAGAGAGAGAGAGAGAGAGAGAGAGAGAGAGAGAGAGAGAGAGAGAGAGAGAGAGAGAGAAGAAUACUUUUCCUGUCACCUAACUUCUUGCAAACUGUGCUGGACUGGAGUGUGAGAAAUACAGAUUUAGGGUAGGAACACAGUGUGAAAUAGAAAAGAUAGAAGAAGGAUAUUGGCGAAAGAGAGAAGGACAACAUGGAUUGUUCCAGUGGAGUUGUGUGUGACUGACGCAGGGAUAGGUUUGGCGUCCAAACAAAUAAUUAUGAAAACAGCUGUUCUCGCUAAGGAAACCGGAGCAAUUUGCUGGCUGGGGUGAAUGCUGAGCCUCGCUCCCCACCUAGACCCCCCCCUCACCCCUAACUUAUCCUCAGGGUCAACAGCACCGUUCCCUCCACCUAGACC